ensembl:lncRNA
UUACUAACAAGCAUCAUGAGAAAGAGUGCCUGCAGAUGAAAUAUGCUUCUACAGAGCUGUGUGAGCAAAAUUACGUGCAAAAAAAACUGGGGAAAAGGCAUACCUUGUGCUGCUUGGAUUCGGAGGUUUUCUUCUGAAUUCUAGAUAUUGCAACUAUCCUCAUAAAUCACAAGUCACUUAUUAAGCCAACAAGCAUGUUUUCAGAGGACCAGCUGCCAGCAAAUGAGAAUUGUUGAGGUCUACAGCAGAUUAUUCUUUCCUUGCACUGGGGUCUGAAAUGAAAGCAGCAUUCAUGUUAGCCAUGACAGAAGGCACUACGGACAGGGUAGGUCUCAUUCUGCACUGUACAAGACUAGUAUUUCUCCAGGAUGAGCUUCAGUAAAGCUUAUACGCCUAUGGCAGUUUCACAACAGUAAGUAGUACUGGCAGAAAGUCACCUACAUCUUAUUAUGGUCUCCUUUCCCUCUGGAAAGGUG